UGCCAUAUUAAAUGGAAAAAAGACCAGGUCCCAGGUGAAGACCAAAUUGCAUAACUGCUAAAUAUGUGCAGAGGGCCAGAGUUACAUCCCAUGUACAGUCUAUGGUUCAAAGUUCAGGUUUUGUGAGCACCUAUGGGCCCAGUGAGAACACACAAAGAGGACAGCAUCUGGGAACUGCAUGUCAACCUUCAAGGCCAGCACUCACAGACUCACUUCCUGGAAGGCCAUGAAUCAAGCUUUCAAAGAUACUGGGGUUAUUUCAUAUCUGUAUACAAAGGCAGGUGAUGGAUAUAGAGGGAAAAUUAAGAUAAACUAUAGAU